CCUACGGGAGGCAGCAGUGAGGAAUAUUGGUCAAUGGGCUUACGCCUGAACCAGCCAAGUCGCGUGAGGGAAUGCUGCCCUAUGGGUUGUAAACCUCUUUUGUCAGGGAGCAAAGCCGGCUACGUGUAGCCGGACUGAGAGUACCUGAAGAAAAAGCAUCGGCUAACCCCGGCCCACCAGCCGCGGUAAUAGGUAGGGGCCAAGGGUUACCCGAUUUUAUUGGGGGUAAAGGGAUCGUAGGCGGUUCGUCGCGUCCGGUGUGAAAGUCCAUCGCUUAACGGUGGCUCCGCGCCGGGUACGGGCGGGCUUGAGUGCGGUAGGGGAGACUGGAAGUCCCGGUGUAACGGUGGAAUGUGUAGAUAUCGGGAAGAACACCAAUGGUGAAGGCAGGUCUCUGGGCCGUUACUGACGCUGAGGAGCGAAAGCGUGGGGAGCGAACAGGAUUAGAUACCCCAGUAGUC
rnacentral:rRNA from 1 species